rnacentral:ncRNA from 1 species
UAAAAUAAAGCUGAGAGAUCAGAUUCAUUCUGUCCCUAUCUACUAUCUAGCGAAACCACAGCCAAGGGAACGGGCUUGGAAUAAUUAGCGGGGAAAGAAGACCCUUUUGAGCUUGACUCUAAUCUGGCAGUGUAAGGAGACAUAAGAGGUGUAGCAUAAGUGGGAGAUAUUAGAUUUCGGUUUGGUAUCGACAAUGAAAUACCACUACUCUUAUUGUUUCCUUACUUACUUGAUUAAAUGGAACGUGUAUCAUUUCCUAGCCAUUAUACGGAUAUAUUUAUUAUAUCUUAUGGUAUUGGGUUUUGAUGCAAGCUUCUUGAUCAAAGUAUCACGAGUUUGUUAUAUAAUCGCAAACAAAUUCUUUAAUGAGAAAAUGCAUUUAUGUAUUUUCAAUUUGAAAAUUUGGUAUAACUCCAAUUACUCAGGUAUGAU